UAACCUAGUGGUUGAGGCUAUGGAUUGUCAAUCCGAAGACGGCGGGUUCGAUUCCCGU
rfam:Aedes albopictus isolate Foshan contig14956, whole genome shotgun sequence.